GGGCAAUAAUUUGGACAUCAUUAUGAUGAAGAGGUCCACACUCAACCAGGAAGCUGCAGUGUCCUCUCUGGAGUGGUUUGGAAGGUGAAGAGGCAGAAAUGUCAAGUAAAGAGAGGACACGAAAAUACAGGGAAAGACUCAAUGCUGACCAUGCAAGGAGAGAGGAGGUCCUGAGGGAAAGGAGGAAAAAG